rnacentral:rRNA from 1 species
UACGGAGGCUCCAAGCGUUAUCCGGAUUUAUUGGGUUUAAAGGGUGCGUAGGCGGAAUAGUAAGUCAGUGGUGAAAUCCUGCAGCUUAACUGCGGAACUGCUAUUGAUACUGCUGUUCUUGAGUACAUUUGAUGUGGGCGGAAUGUGUCGUGUAGCGGUGAAAUGCUUAGAUAUGACACAGAACACCGAUUGCGAAGGCAGCUCACAAAACUGUAACUGACGCUGAGACACGAAAGCCAGGGUAGCGAACGGG